UAUUCCAAAAAAUAGCAAAGUGGCUUUCAAGUUACAAUCACAAUCAUACCCUUUUUAAAGAGUGACGCUAUUUUCACUUGGAAAAUCAGUGGUGUAAAAUGUAAAUCAUCAAAGGUGUUUUACAUAGCUUAUGUUUAUGUUUUAAAAUACUUUUUAAGAAUAUUUUUAGUUUUAUAAAAUAUUAAAUUAAUUUUUUUAGUAUUUUUAAUGUGCUGGAAUAAAAAAAAUAAAAGAAUUAUUUUAAUAUAUUUUUAAAAAUAAAAUUAUUUUUAAAAAAUACUAUACAUUAUUUUUUAUAAGAUUAUCAUGAUAAAAAUAUUUAUCAUUAAAUUGAUUCCUUCCUCGUAUACUCUACUACAAACUCUAGGAGUGAUAGUAAGGAUAGAAGGAAUAUGGGGGUUCUUUACAUGCGGGAAGAGACAGGAAACAAGAGAGACAAGCCUCUCCAUGGAUCUUUUGUUGCAGCAGUCCUUAAAGACUUAUUUGGUAUUCAAGCUCGUGAUGGGUGUGCUUGUGCUGGUCCUUAUGGUCAUACUUUGCUCCAUGCAAUGAGGGCUCCUCCCUUGCCAUUAGAUCUACCAUUGAAGAGGGUUAUGUUGGGGUAAAGCCAGGACGAACAAGAGUGAGCUUCCCUUGCUACAUGUCCGAUGAGGAAUUCAAGUUCAUUCUUACAGCUAUCGAGUUUAUAGCCAUUUACGGCCAGAGAUUUCUUCCACUGUAUCACUUCAACUGGAAAACUGGCAGUUGGACUUACAAGACAAAGGGAUUGAAGGACCUGAUGGGUAGAGAAAGCAGUGGCAAUAUUCAUUUUCUUGCCAUUGGAAAAUACUAAACAUCCUGGGAUUGUCAAUAUAAGGGGCCUCGAGUUCAACAGCCUUGAAUCUGCAGAUGAUGUCGUUCACAGAAGUAAUUACAAAGGGGACGCAACAGCGAGUCCUUCUAUAAUGAAAACUAGUGAUGGACAAGUCAACUGGCUUGUUGCAUCGACUUAUAAUGGGAUGGUAGCAAAUUGAAGAUGAUUCACAAAUUCACCAAUUUGUUUAAUUCUGGUAAGCUUUGACUUGCUAAGAUUCAAAUAAUUGAUCUGCCUAGAUAUCUAAACUGAUAGCAACCAAUUAAAAAUCGACCACUGAAAAAAGUCUUUCCAUUUCCCACUUCCAUGCUGGCCCGUGUAGUAAUCAUAGCAUCCAGCAACAGUUGAUACUGAACAAAUUGUCGGCUGAUGGAUUCACAAUUAGCACCUGUAUCUUUGAGAUUGACUGAAUUCAACCCUUUCUCAGAUUUGACAAUCCUGCUUAAUCUUGGAAAAUUAUGAUAAUAAUGCAAGUAAAAGACCUGUUACCGUGGAGACAUAGCCUUUGUGAGAUUGCAAGUCCACCUGCACAUAGGAGCUGAGAGUCUCAGACCAACAUAUUAGUGGCAUGUCUUUUGAGUAUACAAAAAUAAUGUGCUGCUACUGUUUCAACAGAAAAGAAGCUUCAAUCAUAUUGUAGAAAAAGAUAAACAGCCACAAAGUUAGCGAACAAGACUGUGGCAGCAGGACCAUAAACUGUCACCAAGAAAAAGAAAAAUGCUCAGCGGAUAUCAUAACAACAAAGUUGUUUCUAUAUCAACAUGCUUGAUUCCUAUUCCAUGCAACACUUAACUUGGUUUGACAACUUGUCCAGCCCAAGUAUGUGCUCACUAAUUAUGUUCUUGGGGGAAGACAGUGAACCCAACUUCCAGGUUGAUCCAGCCUCUGGCAAGCGUGGAGGAUUCAAGGGUGGUGGAGCUUGCUGAUGAUUUUUCAAGACUUUAUGCUACUUAUCAAAACAAGGAUAAGAUUUUACAAAAUAAACUCUUAGAAAAUGCCAGUGGUUCAAACCAGAAUUUCCUACUACAAUUACAGAGCAAUAAUAAAUAACAGAAAGUGGUUUAGUUUUAUUUCC